UAACUUUUCAACCAGUAGAGAGAGUGGUUAACAACUCGCACACCGGGGCUCCGUUGGAUGUGAGGUGCCCAUCAAAGAUUGCUUGGUGUUUUAGCCUUUUGGGUCCUCCUCCCCAACCUUAACUCUCUCUCUCUCUGAUAUUUGGCUGCAAAGCAAGUUCCCAUCUUUAUUGCUUGGUUACUUUUUUCCCGGGACCCUGUUCCUUCUUCCUCCCUUGCUGGUUUCAUCUUUUGUGUGGCCUCGGAGUUAUACUGGCGGAAGAAAAAUCAUCUUUUUCUUCCGCCUUCCCCGUUUUAAAGCUGUUUCCCCUCUGCUUUGUUUGUUAUCCAAUGCAUUUAUUGUUCUUUUCCUGUUUGGGGUUCUUUGAGUUCUCAUUAGAUGUUUAAAGGUUGAACCUUGAUGUUGGGUUUUGUUGUUUUGAAGAAAUUUUAUAAAUUUCUGUUGUCUUUUUGGUUCUUGGUGCCUAUUUGCAGUUGUGUUUUUCUCCUUGUGUUUCCUUGAGUUUUAUUGGGGUUUCUGUUGAGAAUUCUGAUGUCUGGUGAAAAUGGUUGAGGCUUGAAGUUGAAUUGUCUGAUUUAAGGGGUUUCCCCCAAUGUUUGUUGCUUUUUUGUGUCAUAAGUUGGGCUUUAAGUAGUUGUAAUAUGCUGGUCUCAAAUCUAUUUUCAUGAGGGUGUUUUCCUGCAAAUCCUACUGCCCCUUCAUCUGCUCCUCGAAGUCAUCCCUCCGCCUUUACUCGCCUUGCGCUUUGAAAUCGGAAGAUAUCCAGCAUGCUUCUUCUAGUCCAUGUCCAAUUAUUCAUGGCGUGGAGGAGAGAUUGCCAGAUGAAAAAAUGGUGGUUGAGAAGAUUGAUGGAUCAGUCCAUGGGAAAGUUGAGACCUUGCUAAAAAGCAUCCUUAAGAAGUCAUCAGGGUCUGGUCCAAAAGAGGUCGGAAAGAGGGAGGUGAAGUGGAUGGAUAUGGUGGGAAAGGAACUUGUUGAAAUCAAAGAAUUUGAACCCAUAUAUUCUCCUUGAGAGGGCCAAGACAAAACUCGCCUAAUUGGAAGAACAUAUAUUUGCUUUGAAGGAAUAUUUUGAUCAUCUGGGCAUUUAACAUCUCACCUUCUUAUGUCUUGCAAGUCAAUGUUUGAUGCCCACGCUGAUCAUUGUGCAGAGUUUGGCAAGUGCAAAUGGAUUCUCUAUAUGUGAACCAGGAGAGCUAGAUGACAAUGACCAUGGCAACCCAGCUUGUAUUUGUGUUAUCCAAUAACCAAGCGACCCAUCUCAAGAGACCAAGCACUCGCUCAUCAUCCAGCUACUGUGAAUUAAAGAUUUAAAUUUUUCUCAGUUGAUAUGCUGUGGUACCUAGUACCUUUUACUCUCAUUUCCUGAUUAAAUUGUUUUCCUUUCUCCUAAAUAUAUAUUUUUUCCAAGAUGUCUGGUAGGCACUACUGUUUGCUUGUUCUUUCCAGAUUCAUUCUGCUAAAUCUUUUGGGGAUCGAAUGUUUUUUUCCUGCGAAUAUAAGGAUGUUGAUUGACUGAAUGAUAGUACUAUGCCAUUUCAUUUCUGCUCA